rnacentral:rRNA from 1 species
CUACGGAGGACGCGAGCGUUAUCCGGUUUCAUUGGGUUUAAAGGGUGCGCAGGCGGCCGUGCAAGUCAGCGGUGAAAGCCCGGGGCUCAACCCCGGAAGUGCCGUUGAUACUGCGUGGCUGGAAUGCGGUCGAGGCGGGCGGAAUGUGGCGGGUAGGGGGGAAAUGCGUAGAUAUGUCACAGAACGCCGAUAGCGGAGGCAGCUCGCCAGGCCUGCAUUGACGCUCGGGCACGAAAGCGUGGGGAUCGAACAGGAUUAGAUACCCUGGUAGUCCACGCCGUAAACGAUGGGCGCUCGUCGUCGGCGACAGACAGUCGGCGGCCAAGCGAAAGCGAUAAGCGCCCCACCUGGGGAGUACGGUCGCAAGGCUGAAACUCAAAUGAAUCGACGGGG